rnacentral:rRNA from 1 species
UACAGAGGUCUCAAGCGUUGUUCGGAUUCAUUGGGCGUAAAGGGUGUGUAGGUGGCGCGCUAAGUCGGGUGUGAAAUUUCGGAGCUUAACUCCGAAACUGCAUUCGAUACUGGCGUGCUUGAGGACUGGAGAGGAGACUGGAAUUCAUGGGUGUAGCAGUGAAAAUGCGUAGAGAUCAUGAGGAAGACCAGUGGCGAAGGCGGGUCUCUGGACAGUUCCUGACACUGAGACACGAAGGCCAGGGGGAGCAAAACGGGG